rnacentral:rRNA from 1 species
GAACGUACGCUGGCGGCACGCCUAACACAUGCAAGUCGAACGAAGUAGCAAUACUUAGUGGCAGACGGGUGAGUAACAUGUAGGUAUCUGCCCUUUGGCCUGGAAUAACACGAGGAAACUUGUGCUAAUACCGGAUAAGUCCUUACGGAGAAAGCUUUAUGCACCAUUGGAUGAGCCUGCACUUGAUUAGUUUGUUGGUGGGGUAAUGGCCUACCAAGACUGUGAUCAAUAGCUGAUUUGAGAGGAUGAUCAGCCACAUUGGGACUGAGACACGGCCCAAACUCCUACGGGAGGCAGCAGUGGGGAAUCUUGCACAAUGGAGGAAACUCUGAUGCAGCGAUGCCGCGUGAGUGAAGAAGGCCCUUGGGUUGUAAAGCUCUUUCGUCGGGGAAGAAAAUGACUGUACCCGAAUAAGAAGGUCCGGCUAACUUCGUGCCAGCAGCCGCGGUAAUACGAAGGGACCUAGCGUAGUUCGGAAUUACUGGGCUUAAAGAGUUCGUAGGUGGUUGAAAAAGUUGGUGGUGAAAUCCCAGAGCUUAACUCUGGAACUGCCAUCAAAACUUUUCAGCUAGAGUUUGAUAGAGGAAAGCAGAAUUUCUAGUGUAGAGGUGAAAUUCGUAGAUAUUAGAAAGAAUACCAAUUGCGAAGGCAGCUUUCUGGAUCAUUACUGACACUGAGGAACGAAAGCAUGGGUAGCGAAGAGGAUUAGAUACCCUCGUAGUCCAUGCCGUAAACGAUGUGUGUUAGACGUUGGAAAUUUAUUUUCAGUGUCGCAGCGAAAGCGAUAAACACACCGCCUGGGGAGUACGACCGCAAGGUUAAAACUCAAAUGAAUUGACGGGGACCCGCACAAGUAGUGGAGCAUGUGGUUUAAUUCGAAGAUACGCGCAGAACCUUACCAACACUUGACAUGUUCGUCGCGACUUUAAGAGAUUAAAGUUUUCGGUUCGGCCGGACGAAACACAGGUGCUGCAUGGCUGUCGUCAGCUCGUGUCGUGAGAUGUUGGGUUAAGUCCCGCAACGAGCGCAACCCUCACUUUUAGUUGCCAUCAUUAAGUUGGGCACUCUGAAAGAACUGCCAGUGAUAAGCUGGAGGAAGGUGGGGAUGACGUCAAGUCCUCAUGGCCCUUACGUGUUGGGCUACACACGUGCUACAAUGGUAUCUACAACAGGAAGCAAGACGGCGACGUUAAGCAAAUCCUUAAAAGAUACCUCAGUUCGGAUUGCACUCUGCAACUCGAGUGCAUGAAGCUGGAAUUACUAGUAAUCGUGGAUCAGCGUGCCACGGUGAGUGCGUUCCCGGGUCUUGUACUCACCGCC